rnacentral:rRNA from 1 species
UCCGUAGGUGGAUAAUUAAGUCAGAGGUGAAAGUUUGCAGCUCAACUGUAAAAUUGCCUUUGAUACUGGUUAUCUUGAGUUAUUAUGAAGUAGUUAGAAUAUGUAGUGUAGCGGUGAAAUGCAUAGAUAUUACAUAGAAUACCAAUUGCGAAGGCAGAUUAUUAAUAAUCAACUGACACUGAUGGACGAAAGCGUGGGGAGCGAACAGGAUUAGAUACCCUGGUAGUCC